AACCAUGCCCCACCGAUCGGAGAGAGAGCGGAAGACCGAGCAGAGAACAGAAGUGCGCCAUCGCCAUCAUUCUCCACGUAUGUCACCGGCGGGUGCUCGGUGAUCAAUUGGGCUAUUUCGUCGGAACACAACGAGCUCGUCCGUGACAGUUGGAGAAGCGUGGAACCUCUGUGACCGCGUAGGACUUCACGCAGUGGAGUCGUCACCGCCGUGGCCUUGUGGACAGCCAUCCCAGACGCUUCAAUUGUCCGUGAAGAGCAAGUACUGCUGGAGAAGGACUACUACGAUGAAUUCGAUGAAAUCCAGGGGUCGUCUCCCAGUCAACUAUUGGCACCGAGGAGAUAUUUAUCUUAGUUCGAUUUAUUAAUUAUCAACUAUUUUGUAAGACAUUUUCGUUAUGUAAUAAAGAUUAUGACGUUGGUCUCUA